AAUUGAUGUAAUUACCUGUACGCUACCUGUGUCUAGGUGUUUGCAAACCUAAUGAGGAGCAUGUUUUGAUAGCAAUUAAUCGGGAAGCAUCGGGAUUAACAGCAAAUGCCACACUUUAAGUUUUUACACAAACUUCGACAAGAAUGGGGUUACACCACCAAAGAAAACGAAACUUUUAUCCCAAUAUCGGGAGGCAGAUUCCCGAUUUUCGGGAUGACUAUCGGGAUCGUAAUUGGAUGACAACCAUGUACCUUGCCGUGUAAUAGGGAUUUAAGGGUAGACCAUGGUGGAAUGAAUGAUGUUACAAAGAACACGAAAACAGCCAUCCAUCAAGCCACCUGCUGCUACCAACUUCUUUGUGAAAUCAAAAUUGGAGCAAGAUUAAGAUGUCACAAGAGCAGAGAUCCUGUUUGCCAACUGCGUUGCAGAACUUAGUGCUUUUUGAACUGCUAUACCAUACUAUUUAUUGUUUGUUGAGAUUUUGAAGAUUGAUUUAAUAAAGAUUGAUUUAAUAUAUGAAAAUAAAGUUAUGUACUUUAUUUAUGAUUUCAUUUGAAAGAGGAGAUUGUUUAAUAAAGACAUUAGGAUAAUGUUAAAUAGAUAAAGAAACAGAUGAAUUUCUAAGAGUUCAAUUGUUUAUACAAAGCAAUUACACGACUAAAUGCCGCGAAAUUUCCUUCUAGGAUAAU